rnacentral:sRNA from 1 species
CUCCGAAUAUCUAGAACAAAACAACUGAAGAUUCCCAAGUUUAAUCUGACUUCAACUAGAAAUAUGAAGCUCAGUAGCAAAACUGAGGGAGUGGAACUCUUGCUGCUUGAUUUCCAGCUAAAGCCUUUGUAUUGCAGAGAAGCUAAGGUGCAGAGAAUGAAGUCUUUUGCUUUCAUUAGUCUUGCUGCCUUAGACUUAACAAAAGAAGCUCAUGAGCUAAAAGUAGGGAUGACCAGAUUCCCAGGUUAGUAACACUGAAGAAAUCACUUUUGAAGCAUUGAAGAAAGCAAUUGAUACCAGUGGAAUGGAAGAACAGGAAAAGGAAAAGAGGCGUCUUGUGAUAGAGAAAUUUCAGAAAGCACCUUUUGAAGAAAUAGCAGCACAGUGUGAAUCCAAAGCAAAUUUGCUUCAUGAUAGACUUGCCCAAAUAUUGGAACUCACCAUACGUCCUCCUCCCAGUCCAUCAGGAACCCUGACCAUUACUUCUGGGCAUGCCCAAUACCAAUCUGUCCCAGUCUAUGAGAUGAAGUUUCCAGAUCUGUGUGUGUACUGAUCGGCUCAUGAAGACCUCAGCAUAUGAUUUGUAAAGCCUAAAAAUUAAGGCCAAGCUGAGCUUUCAGGGUUUACUUAAUGUGUAUUAACAUACUUCUUGAAAAUAAUGAUGGAACAUAUCUUUAACCAAAUGCUUGGCAUACCAUAUUAGAAGUUUUGGAGCUAUAUAUAAUUUCGAGUACUUUCGAAGAUAGAUUUAUGCCAUGUUAAUUUGCUUUGAGGUUCCUGUUGCCUUUUUAAGUUGAACAUGUU